UACGGGGGGAGCAAGCGUUGUUCGGAUUUACUGGGCGUAAAGGGCGCGUAGGCGGCCACCGCAAGUCGAUUGUGAAAUCUCCGGGCUUAACCCGGAAAGGUCAACCGAUACUGCGGGGCUAGAGUGCAGAAGGGGCAACUGGAAUUCUCGGUGUAGCGGUGAAAUGCGUAGAUAUCGUGAGGAAGACCAGUGGCGAAGGCGGGUCUCUGGACAGUUCCUGACACUGAGACACGAAGGCCAGGGGGAGCAAAACGGG
rnacentral:rRNA from 1 species